UCCGAGGACCAUCGACGAGGCGAGGACAGCGGUGCCAUCGGACCCGCCGACCCGGAGCCCGCGCCCUCCAGACCAAGCACCGUCCGCCUCCUCCCCCUCCACGUCCACGCUCGCGGCCGUCCCUGGCCACGCCGACCGCCAUCGUAUCAUCGCACAUGAGCAGCCUCUCUCCCCGGCUUCCUUCCUUCUCUCUCUCGUGGUCGUCUCUGGUAGGCUAGGGUUCCUCUCCGGGACGGGGACGCCCUGGAUUUCUCGGUACGUGUGUUCGUCCUUCCGUACGUCGGCCGCCCUAAAUUUGAUGCCUUUUCUAGUUCGCAGGGAGGGACUUGGCCGGGUGCUUUCAUUCUCCAGCCAGCUCAGGAACAAUGGCGGUGGUAAAGCCCUCCUCUCCUCUCCUCGAUUCCUUAGAUGUUCUGCAUGAAGCGAUUCUUUGUAGUCACAACCAAGAAGAGACUGAGUAUGCUUAGUUGGUUUCUUUUUCUUCAUAUAUGUAGUUAGAUCUUAGAUGUGCUGCCAUCUUGCUGUAGGCAGUGCAAUUUCCCAUGCAAUCUGGAAACUUUGGUUUCUGUAUUAUUUUUUAGGAGUUGCAAAAUGUGAUCUUUGGACAAGGGAGUGACGGUUAGCCCUUAGCAGUGUUCAAUUCUGGACCACUUCAAUUGAUAAUUGCUUCAUUAAUGUGAUUUUUUUCUUGUUUGACAUAAUCCCACACUUUAGGGUCUGGCAAGAAUUAAUUGGACUAUAGUCUAGGUAUGGUCGUGCGUUAAAUGGCGAAGGGGCCGCUCACAAGGUACUAGGUCCAAUUUCAUCGAAAUGCUACAUCUACCUACUGACUACUCCACUUGUUCACAUACAGUUUUUUGCUUUUGUUUUCACUGAUUCACUUUUCUCGGCAUUUUUGUGUGGGUCUCUUUUUAUGGCCAACUUGACAAUUUUCUCUUGAAGGAGUCGCUCAACUCAGAAAGAACAAAGAAUGUUCAUGUCAACCUUGGUUUUUUCUACAGUAGUUGGUAAUCACUCUGAACAAUAGUAUGUCAGUAAAGCCAAUAGUAGUUAGUUUGAGGCUGCUUUUAUCUUUCCUACAAUAGUUCAUUUCAAUUGUUCUUAGUUUUUACUGUAGUUGUUAAUUCGAUUACCUAUUUUACAAGAAAUAAUAAUCAUUCAUAUAUGCCAUCUUAUUCUUAUGCAAUAAUCUGAAAUAUAUCUUGUCAUACCAGGUCUCCUGUGUUCAGUGGCCAUAACUAUAACUAUAGUUUUAACUGAUGCGAUUAAGGAUGGUGUUGGUCGGCCACGUCCAGAUUCCUUUUGGCGCUGUUUUCCCGACAGAGUAUCUUUAAUGUGCUCACCUUGGGCUGUUGCUUCUUUGUGCUCAUCCAUAGCAAUACUAUUCUCAUUAUCUCAUCCAUGGCAAUACCGUUCUAUGCACUAAUCGGCAAUGACACAACUACACAUAGCGAGUACUAGAAAGCAUGAUAAUGUUUUAGGGCACUUUUCUACUUUGUGCAAGAAAAUUAAUUUGAUGGAUAUGCGACCUGUUCUCUCUUGAUUAUGUGUGGAUUUUAAUACACAAUUAUUUUUGUAGAAGGUAACUUGGUUGACACUAUUUUGUUAUUUCUAUAUGGAGAAAAUGUGAGCUCGGCUGAUGGAUUGCAUACUAUUUGGCUGAGUGGUUUUGUACUAAAGAUACAAUUGAGCCGAAGACUUCUUUUGUAUGGAAAUUCACUAUGGAAACCGAAAUAAUGGUACUCUGCACAACCGUUGACUUUCUUGCAUUGGUUCUUCAUUCUAUAAGUCACACCUUUUCUAUUUGGUAAAAGAAGAGUGAGCUCAUGCUUGAAGUUCUACCAUAUAUGUUAACACUUGGAUACUGUAUCAACCCUCUGAUACUUCAUAGUUUUCCCUUGCAUUGCCUCCUUUAACUCUUCAGCUGGACCUUUGAAAAGAAUGAUUUUUUGGUUAUAUAAUUUAUUAUGUUUUGUUUCAUUGUCGAGAGGUAGAAUGUAAAGUAGGCUUCUAUUUUCAGUCUAUUCAUAUGCAGAUAUUUGAUAUAAGUGAAUAUAUACAUUUUGGUAGGUGAAUGUGCUCUCCAUUAAUAUCAUCGAUAUAUUUGAGCUUCAGAGAAGGAUAUCUAUGCCAUUUUGUUGUUGGUUUUUGAACAAAAGAGUGUUGUAUGUGCAUCGUUAAGAGGAUGAAGCAGCAAAAUUACCAAUUUAGCAGGAUGUGGCUGAUACGUACAGAGUGGCUUUACUUAGGUUUGGUGUUACUACUAUUUCUUUCGUUGUAAAACUGCAGUACGACAAAGUUUAUAGAUUUAUCAGCCAUGCUUUUAGUGCCAGUAGUUUUGACUAUAGCUGUUGUGCAACUCCGUGUGUCUAUGAUCUAUUGUUUAAAUAUAACAUAACAUUCUGAAAUUGUUAGUUGUUCUCUAUGUAUGAGAAAUCAUGAAAGAACUGUCUGCUAGGGGUAAAUAAUAUUUUCCGCUGUUUGAUAAAACAGUUAGGCCUCUACCCUCUCAUAUAUUUUUAUUCUCUUUUGAAGAAUUCCUAGCCUUGAAUACUAUUUUCUCCAUGGUUCUCAUGUUGUGCAUUCUACAAUGCAGGAUACUGAAUCAACAGUUACACGAAAGUUUGAUGUCGUGUGAGUAGCAGAAACUGAAAGAAUAAGGAUUAGUCCUGUGAGAAGAGGUUGACAUUAUAUGCCCCUUCAGUGCUCGCUUUUGUCUUCCCCUGAUGUUCUCAUCUCAAGGCUACUGACCUAGGAGUAGUCAUAUGCAAGUUCUAGUUAUCGCCCCUAUCCUAUUUCCUGCAGAGAGAUAUGGCGAGGGAGGUGGCGAGGAUGUCGUUGGUGAUCUUGAAGAAUGGCAAGACGCCGAGCGAUGCGCUGCUGCACCAACUGCCCAAGACACUGAGUGACGCGUAGCUGCUGCCGCUGCCCAAGAAGAUGACAAGCGUAAAUGAUGGUUUGAUCUGUGUGUAGUUGCAUUGUUUAUUUCUUAAUCAGUGAAGAUCAUUUUUAUUAAUUAUUUUGACACGAACCCUAUGCUUUCUGUCAGGAGAUUGUUUUUGUAGUUGCCUAUUUAUUGUUAUCUACCAUUUUUAAA